rnacentral:rRNA from 1 species
AUUGCUAAGACAGCUAGGAUGUUGGCUUGGAAGCAGCCAUUCAUUUAAAGAGUGCGUAACAGCUCACUAGUCGAGGAAUCGGGCGUGGAUAAUAAUCGGGUAUCAAGUUGUCUGCCGAAGCUAUAGAAUCAGCAAUGAUUGGUAGGGGAGCAUUCCAUUCAGCGUUGAAGGCGUACCGUGAGGUAUUCUGGAGCGUAUGGAAAAGCAAAUGUAGGUAUAAGUAACGAUAAAGGGGGCGGGAAACCCCCUCGCCGAAAGACUAAGGUUUCCUGAUCAACGCUAAUCGGAUCAGGGUAAGUCGGGACCUAAGGCUCAGCCGAACGGCGAGGCCGAUGGCAGAAACGGUUAAGAUUCCGUUACUACCUUCAGGAGUGACGUGGGGAAGCAGUAGUGACACCAUCGCGGACUGACGGAAUAGUCCGUUAAAGAGUGUAGGCGUUGAUUUCCGCAGGCAAAUCCGCGGAGAGAGCCGAACUUGAGAGUAUGGAGCGUCCUUCGGGACAAUCCAAUAGCAUGGGUAACCAGACUGCCGAGAAAAUCCGCUAAACAUAAUUCUGAAGGUACCCGUACCGCAAACGGACACACGUAGUCGGGUUGAAUAUACUAAGGCGCUUGAGUGAAUCACGGUUAAGGAACUAGGCAAACUGACCCUGUAACUUCGGGAUAAAGGGUCCCUACCCAGAGAUGGGAGGGCGCAGAGAAUAGGUCCAGGCAACUGUUUAACAAAAACACAGGGCUGUGCCAAUAUGAAAGUAGACGUAUACAGCCUGACACCUGCCCGGUGCUGGAAGGUUAAGAGGAGAUGUCAUCGCAAGAGAAGCAUUGAAUUGAAGCCCCAGUAAACGGCGGCCGUAACUAUAACGGUCCUAAGGUAGCGAAAUUCCUUGUCGGGUAAGUUCCGACCUGCACGAAUGGUGUAAUGAUCCGGACGCUGUCUCAACCGUGAGCUCAGUGAAAUUGUAGUAUCGGUGAAGAUGCCGAUUACCCGCGAUGGGACGAAAAGACCCCGUGAACCUUUACUAUAGCUUAGCAUUGAAUUUGGGCACGCGAUGUGUAGGAUAGGUCGGAGGCAAUGAAGCAGGCACGCCAGUGUUUGUGGAGCCGCUGUUGAAAUACGACCCUUCGUUUGUUUGAGUUCUAACUUCCGGAUUGAAGGACAUUGCUUGGUGGGUAGUUUGACUGGGGUGGUCGCCUCCAAAAGCGUAACGGAGGCUUCUAAAGGUGCCCUCAGGACGAUCGGUAACCGUCCGUAGAGUGUAAUGGCAGAAGGGCGCUUGACUGGGAGACAGACAGGUCGAUCAGGUAGGAAACUAGAGCAUAGUGAUCCGGUGUUUCCGUAUGGAAGGGACAUCGCUCAAAGGAUAAAAGGUACUCCGGGGAUAACAGGCUGAUCCCUCCCAAGAGCUCAUAUCGACGGAGUGGUUUGGCACCUCGAUGUCGGCUCGUCACAUCCUGGGGCUGGAGAAGGUCCCAAGGGUUGGGCUGUUCGCCCAUUA